rnacentral:rRNA from 1 species
AUUGAACGCUGGCGGCAGGCUUAACACAUGCAAGUCGAGCGGAGAUGAGGUGCUUGCACCUUAUCUUAGCGGCGGACGGGUGAGUAAUGCUUAGGAAUCUGCCUAUUAGUGGGGGACAACAUUCCGAAAGGAAUGCUAAUACCGCAUACGUCCUACGGGAGAAAGCAGGGGAUCUUCGGACCUUGCGCUAAUAGAUGAGCCUAAGUCGGAUUAGCUAGUUGGUGGGGUAAAGGCCUACCAAGGCGACGAUCUGUAGCGGGUCUGAGAGGAUGGUCCGCCACGCUGGGACUGAGACACGGCCCAGACUCCUACGGGAGGCAGCAGUGGGGAAUAUUGGACAAUGGGCGGAAGCCUGAUCCAGCCAUGCCGCGUGUGUGAAGAAGGCCUUUUGGUUGUAAAGCACUUUAAGCGAGGAGGAGGCUACCUGGAUUAAUACUCUAGGAUAGUGGACGUUACUCGCAGAAUAAGCACCGGCUAACUCUGUGCCAGCCGCCGCCGUAAAAC